UAGUAUUACCCAGCAGCCCCUGCCCCACCAUCUGAGCCCCUCGCCUGGGUGCUGCCCAGUGCCCUCGGUAGAGACAGGUUCCCCCCACCUCCCCCCACAAUCAUGGAUCACUCCUUCAGUGGUGCCCCCCGCUUCCUAACUCGGCCCAAGGCCUUCAUGGUGUCGGUGGGGAAGGAUGCCACGCUGAGCUGCCAGAUCAUAGGCAACCCCACGCCACAAGUCAGCUGGGAGAAGGACCGGCAGCCAGUGAAGGCAGGCGCUCGCUUCCGCCUGGCCCAGGACGGGGACCUGUACCGCCUCACCAUCCUGGACCUGGCGCUGGGCGAUAGCGGGCAGUAUGUAUGCCGUGCGCGCAAUGCCAUCGGCGAGGCCUUCGCGGCAGUCGGCCUGCAGGUGGACGCUGAGGCAGCGUGCGCCGAGCAGGCACCCCACUUCCUGCUGCGACCCACAUCCAUCCGCGUGCGCGAGGGCGCUGAAGCCACUUUCCACUGCCGAGUGCGCGGUUCGCCACCUAUGUCGGUGAGCUGGGCCAAGGAUGGGAGGCGCCUGGGCUCGCCAGACGCCCCUCGAGUGCGCGUGGAGGCGAGCGGCGAGGAGGCCGCGCUGCGCAUCCAGGACGCGAGACCGCGCGACAGUGGCACCUACAUAGUGCACGCAGAGAACCCGCUGGGCGCAGCUAGCGCCGCGGCGGGGCUCACAGUAGACGCGGAUGCAGACGCGGCAAGCCCACCCGGGGCCUCCACAGCCAUGCUCUUGGCGCACUUGCAGCGGCGGCGCGAGGCUAUGCGCGCGGAGGGUGCCCCGGGCUCGCCUCCCAGCAUCGGGACACGCACCUGUACGGUGACUGAGGGCAAGCACGCGCGCCUCAGCUGCUUCGUGACAGGAGAGCCCAAGCCUGAGAUAGUGUGGAAGAAGGAUGGGCAGCUGGUGGCCGAGGGCCGGCGACACUUAGUGUAUGAGGACGCGCAGGAGAACUUCGUGCUCAAGAUCCUCUUCUGCAAGCAGUCAGACUGCGGCCUCUAUACUUGCACUGCGUCCAACCUCGUGGGCCAGACCUACAGUUCCGUGUUGGUUGUUGUGCGAGAGCCUGCGGUGCCUUUCAAGAAGCGGUUGCAGGACCUGGAAGUGCCAGAGAAAGCGUCCGCCACGUUCCAGUGUGAGGUGCUGCUGCCGGCCACCGAGUCUGCGUGGUACAAGGAGGAGACGCGGCUGUGGGCCAGCGACAAGUAUCGCAUCGAGGAAGCAGGCACCGAGCGCCGGCUGACUGUGCUCAACGUCUCUUCCGACGACGAUGCCGUGUACAUCUGUGAGACAGCGGAGGGCAGUCGCACGGUGGCUGAGCUGGCGGUGCAAGGCAACCUUCUCCGAAAGCUCCCAAGGAAGACAGCUGUGCGAGUGGGAGACACAGCCAUGUUCUGUGUGGAGCUGGCCAGGCCAGAAGGCCCCAUCCACUGGCUGCGGAACCAGAAGGAGGUGGUGGCUGGGGGCCGAGUGGCCAUCACUGCUGAAGGCACAUGCCACACGCUCAUCAUCUCCCAGUGCAGCCUGGAGGAUGUGGGUGAGGUGGCCUUUGUGGCUGGGGACUGCCGGACGUCCACCCAGUUCUGUGUGUCGGCCCCCAGAAGGCCGCCUCUGCAUGCUCCUGAGGCCCCAGUGGUGAAGGCCAGAACGGAGAGCUCUGUGACCCUUGGCUGGUCCCCACCGGCCCAUGGGGACCGCCCUGUGGCUAUCAAUGGCUACCUGGUAGAGAAGAGGCGACUGGGUGCCUACACCUGGACCCGGUGCCAUGAAGACGAGUGGGUGGCCAUGCCUGAGCUGACUGUGGCCGGUGUGGCUGAAGAGGGUGAAUUCCAGUUCCGGGUGUCAGCUGUGAACAGCUUUGGCCAGAGCCCCUACCUCGAGUUCCCAGGGACUGUACACCUGGUCCCCCAGCUGGCUGUGAAGACACCUCUGAAGGCAGUGGAGGCGGUAGAAGGCGGCGAGGUGACCUUUUCUGUGGACCUCACUGUGGCCUCAGCAGGGGAGUGGUUCCUGGAUGGGCAGGCCCUGAAGGCCAGCAAUAUGUAUGUGAUCCACUGUGAUGGCACCCGGCACACUCUCACCAUCCGCUCAGUACCUGUCAGCCUGCAUGGUGUUGAACUCAAGUUCGUGGCCAAUGGCAUUGAGAGCAGCAUCCGCAUGGAGGUCCGAGCAGCCCUUGGGCUGACAACCAAGCAUCCAGCUGCGGCAGUGGCAGCACGGGAGGUGUUGGCUCGUCUGCAUGAGGAGGCCCAGCUCCUGGCCGAGCUCUCAGACCAGGCUGCAGCCGUGACAUGGCUCAAGGAUGGACAUGCACUACCCCCAGGCCCCAAGUAUGAGGUGCAGGCAUCAGCCGGGCAGCGGGCACUGCUGGUGCGGGAUGUGAAGAGAGAAGAUGCAGGCCUGUACGAGUGCAUCAGCCAUGGGGACCGCAUCGCCUACCAGUUGUUGGUGCAAGGUGACACUGGUGUCUGUGCUGAGGUGAGGGCCAGUGGCAUGCUAAGCUGUGAGGUAGCCCAGGUCCAGACAGAGGUGACAUGGUUCAAGAAAGGAAAGAAGCUGAGUUCAAGCUCAAAAGUGUAUUCUCAUAAGCUUAUUCUAGUUUUGUGUCUCACACUAUAUUCCUUUCUGUGCCCAGAACCCUCUGCAGUAUUUAUCAAGGGGCAGCCAGCGCAUAAGGAGGUGCAGGCUGUCGCGGGGGCCAGCACCACACUGAGCUGCGAGGUGACCCAGGCCCAGACGGAGGUCACAUGGUACAAGAAUAAGAAGAAGCUGAGUUCGAGCUCAAAUGUGCGUGUGGAGGCCAAGGGCUGCACCCGGAGGCUGGUGGUGCAGCAGGCGGGCAAGGCGGAUGCCGGGGAGUACAGCUGUGAGGCCGGGGGCCAGAAGGUGUCCUUCCACCUGAAUGUCACAGAGCCCUCAGUGGUGUUCGCCAAGGAGCAGCCAGCUCGCAGUGAAGUGCAGUCUGUGGCAGGGGCCAGUGCCGUGAUGAGCUGUGAGGUGGCCCAGGCCCAGACGGAGGUGACUUGGUACAAGGAUGGGAAGAAGCUGAGUUCAAGCUCAAAAGUGCGUGUAGAGGCCAAAGGCUGCAACCGGAGGCUGGUGGUGCAGCAGGCAGGCAAGGCAGAUGCCGGGGAAUAUAGCUGUGAGGCUGGGGGCCAGAAGGUCUCCUUCCAUCUGGAUGUCACAGAGCCCUCGGUGGUGUUUGCCAAGGAGCAGCCAGCACGCAGUGAAGUGCAGGCCAUGGCAGGGGCCAGUGCCACACUGAACUGUGAGGUGGCCCAGGCCCAGACGGAGGUGACAUGGUACAAGGAUGGGAAGAAGCUGAGUUCGAGCUCAAAAGUGCAUGUGGAGGCCAAGGGCUGCACCCGGAGGCUGGUGGUGCAGCAGGCGGGCAAGGCAGAUGCCGGGGAGUACAGCUGUGAGGCUGGGGGUCAGAAGGUCUCCUUCCACCUGGAUGUCACAGAGCCCUCAGUGGUGUUUGCCAAGGAGCAGCCGGCACACAGUGAAGUGCAGGCCAUGGCGGGGGCCAGUGCCACACUGAGCUGUGAGGUGGCCCAGGCCCAGACGGAGGUGACAUGGUACAAGGAUGGGAAGAAACUGAGUUCAAGCUCAAAAGUGCAUGUGGAGGCCAAGGGCUGCACCCGGAGGCUGGUGGUGCAGCAGGCGGGCAAGGCAGAUGCCGGGGAGUACAGCUGCGAGGCUGGGGGUCAGAAAGUCUCCUUCCACCUGGAUGUCACAGAGCCCUCAGUGGUGUUUGCCAAGGAGCAGCCUUCACACAGUGAAAUGCAGGCUGUGGUGGGGGCCAGUGCUGCACUGAGCUGUGAGGUGGCCCAGGCCCAGACGGAGGUGACAUGGUACAAGGAUGGGAAGAAGCUGACUUCAAGCUCAAAAGUGCGUGUGGAAGCCAAGGACUGCACUCGGAAGCUGGUGGUACAGAAGGCGGUCAAGGCAGAUGCAGGAGAGUACAGCUGCGAGGCUGGGGGCCAAAAGGUCUCCUUCCACCUGGAUGUCACAGAGCCCUCAGUGGUGUUUGCCAAGGAACAGCUGGCCUGCAGUGAAGUGCAAGCCAUGGCAGGGGCCAGUGCCACGCUGAGCUGUGAGGUGGCCCAGGCCCAGACGGAGGUGACUUGGUACAAGGAUGGGAAGAAGCUGAGUUCGAGCUCAAAAGUGCGUGUGGAGGCCAAGGGCUGCAACCGGAGGCUGGUGGUGCAGCAAGUGGGCAAGGCAGAUGCUGGGGAGUACAGCUGCGAGGCUGGGGGUCAGAAGGUCUCCUUCCACCUGGAUGUCACAGAGCCCUCAGUGGUGUUUGCCAAGGAGCAGCCAGCACGCACUGAAGUGCAAGCCAUGGCCGGAGCCAGUGCCACACUGAGCUGUGAGGUGGCCCAGGCCCAGACAGAGGUGACAUGGUACAAGGAUGGGAAGAAGCUGACUUCAAGCUCAAAAGUGCGUGUGGAGGCCAAGGGCUGCAACCGGAGGCUGGUGGUGCAGCAGGCGGGCAAGGCAGAUGCUGGGGAGUACAGCUGCGAGGCUGGGGGUCAGAAGGUCUCCUUCCACCUGGACAUCACAGAGCCCUCAGUGGUGUUUGCCAAGGAGCAGCCAUCAAGCAGUGCAGUGCAGGCUGUGACGGGGGCCAGUGCCACACUGAACUGUGAGGUGGCCCAGGCCCAGACGGAGGUGACAUGGUACAAGGAUGGGAAGAAGCUGAGUUCGAGCUCAAAAGUGCGUGUGGAGGCCAAGGGCUGCACCCGGAGGCUGGUGGUGCAGCAGGCGGGCAAGGCAGAUGCCGGGGAGUACAGCUGCGAGGCUGGGGGUCAGAAGGUCUCCUUCCACCUGGAUGUCACAGAUCCCUCAGUGGUGUUUGCCAAGGAGCAGCCAUCAUACAGUGAAGUGCAGGCUGUCGCAGGGGCCAGUGCCACACUGAGCUGUGAGGUGGCCCAGGCCCAGACGGAGGUGACAUGGUACAAGGAUGGGAAGAAGCUGAGUUCGAGCUCAAAAGUGCGUGUGGAGGCCAAGGGCUGCACCCGGAGGCUGGUGGUGCAGCAGGCGGUCAAGGCAGAUGCAGGAGAGUACAGCUGCGAGGCUGGGGGCCAGAAGGUCUCCUUCCACCUGGAUGUCACAGAGCCCUCAGUGGUGUUCGCCAAGGAGCAGCCGGCAUGCAGUGAGGUGCAGGCUGUGACAGGGGCCAGUGCCACACUGAACUGUGAGGUGGCCCAGGCCCAGACGGAGGUGACAUGGUACAAGGAUGGGAAGAAGCUGAGUUCGAGCUCAAAAGUGCGUGUGGAGGCCAAGGGCUGUACCCGGAGGCUGGUGGUGCAGCAGGCGGGCAAGGCAGAUGCCGGGGAGUACAGCUGUGAGGCUGGGGGCCAGAAGGUCUCCUUCCAUCUGGAUGUCACAGAGCCCUUGGUGGCAUUUGCCAAGGAGCAGCCAGCACGCACUGAAGUGCAGGCUGUGACGGGGGCCAGUGCCACGCUGAGCUGUGAUGUGGCCCAGGCCCAGACAGAGGUGAUAUGGUACAAGGAUGGGAAGAAGCUGAGUUCGAGCUCAAAAGUGCGUGUGGAGGCCAAGGGCUGUACCCGGAGGCUGGUGGUGCAGCAGGCGGGCAAGGCAGCUGCCGGGGAGUACAGCUGCGAGGCUGGGGGUCAGAAGGUCUCCUUCCACCUGGAUGUCUCAGAGCCCAUGGAGGUGUUUGCCAAGGAGCAGCCGGCAUGCAGUGAAGUGCAGGCCAUGGCAGGGGCCAGUGCCACUCUGAGCUGUGAGGUGGCCCAGGCCCAGACAGAGGUGACAUGGUACAAGGAUGGGAAGAAGCUAACUUCGAGCUCAAAAGUGCAUGUGGAGGCCAAGGGCUGCACCCGGAGGCUGAUGGUGCAUCAGGCGGGCAAGGCAGAUGCUGGGGAAUACACCUGCAAAGCUGGGGGCCAGAAGGUCUCCUUCCACCUGGAUGUCACAGAGCCUAUGGUGGUGUUUGCCAAGGAGCAGUUAAUGUGCAGGGAGGUACAGGCCAAGGCAGGAGCCAGCACCACACUGAGCUGCGAGGUGGCCCAGGCCCAGACGGAGGUGACAUGGUACAAGGACGGGAAGAAGUUGAGUGCAAGCUCGAAAGUGCACGUGGAGGCCAAGGGCUGCACCCGGAGGCUGGUGGUGCAGCAGGUGGGCAAGGCAGAUGCUGGGGAGUACAGCUGCGAAGCCGGGGGCCAGAAGGUCUCUUUCCACCUAGAUGUCACAGAGCCUGAGCUUGAGCUUGCAGCCCUGGAAAGACCAAGACGGAGGGAACCUCUGGUGGUCAAGGAACAUGAGGACAUCGUCCUGACAGCCACACUGGCCACACCCUCUGUGGCUGCGGUGACAUGGCUCAAGGAUGGCGUGGAAAUUCGCCGCAGCAAGCGGCAUGAGAUGGCCAGCCUGGGGGAAACCCACACCUUGACUGUGCAUGGCGCGCAGACCCUGGACAGUGCAGUCUACAGCUGCCGCGUUGGCGCCGAGGGGCAGGACUUUCCGGUGCAGGUGGAAGAGGUGGCUGCCAAGUUCUGUCGUCCUUUGGAGUCUGUGAGCGGGGAGCUAGGCGGCACGGUGACGCUGACCUGCGAGCUGAGCCCUGCUCAGGCCGAAGCGGUGUGGCGCUGCGGAAACACGCAACUCCGGGCUGGCAAACGUUUCCAGAUGGCGGCUGCGGGACUUCAGCGCUCUCUCACUGUGACCGGCCUGCGAGCGGAGGAUGCUGGGGAGUACGUGUGCCAGAGUCGCGACGACCGCACCAGCGCCACACUCACCGUUAGAGUGCCUCGCAUGGUCAAGUUCACGUCCCCGCUGAGCGCAGUGGUUGCAGAGGAGGGCUGCGAGGCUAACUUCCAGUGCGUGGUGACCCCCAGCGAUGUGGCAGUCACGUGGUUCCGGGAUGGCCUUCAGCUACAGCUCAGCGAGAAGUUUCUCAUAUCUCAGAGGGGUGCCAGCCACAGCCUGACCAUCUCGAGCCUGGCCUUGGAGGACUCCGGCCAGAUCACCGCGGAGGCUGAGGGUGUCAAGUCUACAGCUGCGCUCAGGGUCCGAGAGGCUCCAGUGCUGUUCAAAAAGAAGCUGGAGCCACAGACCGUGGAGGAGCGGAGCUCGGUGACCAUGGCAGUAGAGCUGACACGGCAGUGGCCAGAGGUCAAGUGGACACGCAAUGCUGCGGCCCUGGUACCUGGCGAGAAUGUGGAGAUCCACGCAGAGGGCAAGAGUCACCGCUUGGUUCUCCACAGUGUGGGUUUUGCUGACCGUGGUUUCUAUGGCUGUGAGACACCAGAUGACAAGACACAGGCCAAACUGACAGUGGAAAUGCGCCAGGUCCGGCUUGUGCGGGGCUUGCAAGCAGUGGAGGCACAGGAGCAGGGUGUCGCCACAAUGGAAGUAGAACUGUCUCAUGCCGAUGUGGAGGGCAGCUGGACUCGAGACGGCCUUCGACUCCAGCCAGGACCCACGUGCCAGCUGGCAGUGCAUGGCCCCACCCAUAGCCUCACACUGUCACAGCUGCAGCGGCAGGAUGGAGGCCUUGUCACCUUCAGGGCAGAGGGCGUGCACACAUCAGCGCAACUGGUGGUCACUGGCCGAAAUGUCCAGAUCGUGAGGCCCCUGGAAGACGUGGAAGUGAUGGAGAAGGAGGGUGCCACCUUCUCCUGUGAGGUCUCCCAUGAUGAGGUGCCUGCCCACUGGUUCCGGGAGGGCAUUAAGCUUCGACCCACUGAUAAUGUGCGCAUCCGCCAGGAAGGUGAGAUGGACUUUAGGAGGACUUCUCCCCCUUCCCACUCCCAGGCCACCUCUCCCUUUACUGCCAAGUGGUCUCUUUUCCCAGGAAGGACAUACACUCUCAUUUAUCGGAGGGUCCUGGUGGGUGAUGCAGGGGAAAUCAAAUUUGUAGCUGAAAAUGCAGAAUCACGAGCCCAGCUCCGAGUCAAAGAGCUGCCAGUGGCCAUCCUACGCCCGCUGAGGGAUAAGAUCGCAAUGGAGAAGCACCGAGGUGUGCUCGAGUGCCAGAUGUCGAGGGCCAGCGCCCAGGUGCGGUGGUUCAAGGGCAGUGUGGAACUGCAGCCGGGAGCCAAAUAUGAGAUGAUCAGUGAUGGCCUUUACCGCAAGCUAGUCAUCAAUGCUGUCCAGCCUGAGGAUGAGGACACGUAUACCUGUGAUGCUGGCGAUGUUAAGACCAGUGCCCAGUUCUUUGUGGAAGAGCAAUCCAUCACUAUCGUGCGGGGCCUGCAGGAUGUGACGGUGAUGGAGCCUGCCCCUGCUUGGUUCGAGUGUGAGCUCUCCAUCCCCUCAGUGCGGCCUCCUAAGUGGCUCCUGGGGAAGACGGUUCUGCAGGCAGGGGCUGAUGUGGGAAUAGAGCAGGAGGGCACAGUGCACCGACUGACUCUGCGGCGGACCUUCUCCACCAUGACGGGGCCAGUGCACUUCACCAUUGGCAAAUCACGCUCCACGGCCUCCCUGGUUGUCUCAGACAUUCCCACGGUGCUCACGCGGCCACUGGAGCCCAAGGUGGGACGUGAGCUGCAGUCGGUAGUUCUGUCUUGUGACUUCAAGCCGCCCCCCAAGGCAGUGCAGUGGUACAAGGAGGAGACACCCUUGGCGCCAUCUGGCAAGUUCAAGAUGAGGCUGGAGGGUCACAUGGCAGAGCUGCGAGUCCUGAGGCUCACACCCGCAGAUGCUGGUGUUUACCGGUGCCAGGCUGGCAGCGCCCAGAGCAGCGCUGAGGUCACCGUGGAAGUGCGGGAAGUGAUGGUGACACAGCCACUGCAAGAUUUGGAGGUCACAGAGGAGGGCUCUGCCUGCUUCUCCUGCGAGCUUUCCCACGAGGAUGAGGAGGUGGAAUGGUCACUCAAUGGGACGCCACUGUAUAACGACAGCUUCCAUGAGAUUACCCACGAGGGCCGCCGCCACACGCUGGUGCUGAAGCGGGUCCGGCAGGCUGAUAGGGGCACUGUAUGUGCCUCCUCCCCUAAGGUUACAGCCUCAGCCCACCUGGAGGUCAAAGGGAAGCCGGUGGUGUUCCUGAAGGCGCUGGAUGAUAUGUCUGUGGAGGAGCAGGGCACACUGGCCUUGCAGUGUGAGGUCUCUGACCACCAGGCCCAUGUGGUGUGGCGAAAGGAUGGUGUGGAGCUGGGCCCCAGUGACAAGUAUGACUUCCUGCAUACAGCGGGCACUCGGGGACUUGUGGUGCAUGACCUGAGCCGGGACGAUGCUGGCCUGUACACCUGCGACGUGGGCACUGAUGAGACCCAUGCCCGUGUCAGCGUGCACGAUCUGCAUGUGGGCAUCACCAAAAGACUGAAGACAGUGGAGGUGCUGGUGGGUGAGAGCUGCAGCUUUGAAUGUGUCCUGUCCCACGAGAACACUGGCGAUGUGGCUGUGUGGACAGUUGGUGGGAAAACGGUGGCCAGCUCUGACCGUUUCCAGGCCACUCGCCAGGGCCGCAAGUACACUCUGGUUGUCCGAGACGCUGUGCCAAGUGACGCUGGGGAGGUGGUCUUCUCUGUGCGGGACCUUACCUCCAAGGCCUCGCUCAUCGUCAGAGAGAGGCUGGUAGACAUCGUGAAGCCACUGGAAGACCAGCAGGCCAUGCUGGGUGAGGAUGUGGUGCUGAGGUGUGAGCUUUCCCGGGAGGGAAUCCCAGUGCACUGGCUGAAGGAUGGGAAGGCCAUUCGCAAGAGUAAGAAGUAUGAGGUGCUCACUGAAGGCACCUGGGCCAUGCUAGUUGUCCAUGCAGCCUCACUCAAAGAUUGUGGGGAGUACACGUGUGAGACAGAGUCUUCCAAAAGCACAGCCAGCCUCCACUUGGAAGAAAAGCCAAAUCGGUUCACAGAGGAGCUGGCUGACCUGCAGGUGGAGGAGAAGGGCACAGCUGUGUUUGCCUGCAAGACGGAGCGUCCUGCAGCCUCAGUGACCUGGUGCAAGGGCCUCACAGAGCUGCGAGCCUCAGGGAAGCACAUGCCCAGCCAGGAGGGCCUGACCUUGAGGCUCACCAUCAGUGCCCUGGAGAAGGCAGACAGUGACACCUAUACCUGUAACAUUGGCCAGGCCCAGUCCCAGGCCCGGCUUCUGGUGCAAGGCCAGAAAGUGUUCAUUAUGGAGGACCUGGAGGACACGGAGGUGCAAGAGGGCUCCUCGGCCACCUUCUGCUGCCGCAUCUCCCCUGCCGACUAUAAGCCCGUCCACUGGUUCUUGGACAAAACCCCCCUGUAUGCCAACGAACUCAAUGAAAUUGAGGCCCAGCCUGGUGGCUACCAUGUACUGACCCUGCGGCAGCUGGCACUCAAGGAUUCAGGCACUGUCCACUUUGAGGCAGGCGACCAGCGGGCCUCGGCUGCCUUGAGGGUCACAGAGAAGCCAAGUGUUUUCUCCCAGGAGCUUACAGAUGUCACAGUCACAGAGGGGGAGGAUCUGACCCUGGUCUGUGAGACUGCUGCCUUAGACAACCCUGUGUGCUGGACCAAGGAUGGGAAGGCCCUGCGGCCAUCGGCCCGGUGCCGGCAGACCUAUGAGGGCCGCCGGGCCCAGUUGGUCAUCACUGACACCACCCUGCAGGACAGCGGGCGCUACAAAUGUGAGACUGGGGGUGCCUGGAGCAGCUCCAUUGUCAGGGUCCAUGCUCGGCCAGUGUGGUUCCGAGAGGGGCUGAAGGACAUGGAGAUACUGGAGGGUGGAGCUGCCACACUACGCUGCAUGCUGUCAUCAGUGGCCAUGCCUGUGGAGUGGCGUUGUGGAGAUGAGGUUCUGAAGCCUGGGGGCAAGUACAGUCUGAGACAGGAAGGUACCAUGCUGGAGCUGGUGGUCCGGGACCUGCGGCCUCAGGACACUGGGCAGUACUGUUGCUGCUUUGGGGACCAGAUGACAUCAGCCAAACUCACCGUGAAGGGUGAGUAUCCUCACCCACACUAUGAUGUUCUGUGUCCAUUGGACUUUGUUACAGCCCUGCCUGCUGAGUUCAUAGGAAGACUGAGAAGCAAGGAGGCCAAAGAAGGGGUCACAGCCACGCUGCGCUGUGAGCUGAGUAAGGAGGCCCCAGUGGAGUGGAAGAAGGGGCCUGAGACCCUCAGAGCUGGGGGCAGAGUGAGUCUGAAGCAGGAAGGAGCUGUGUGUGAACUGGAGAUUCAGGACCUGACCGUGGCAGAUGCCGGGGAGUACUCAUGCGUGUGUGGGCAGGAGAGAACCUCGGCCACACUCACCGUCACGGGUAAAGACUCCCUGCCUGCUGAGUUCAUAAGAAGACUGAGAAGCAAGGAGUUCAUGGAAGGGACCACAGCCACGCUGCACUGUGAGCUGAGCAAGGCGGCCCCCGUGGAGUGGAGGAAGGGACCCGAGACCCUGAGAGCUGGGGACAGAGUGAGCCUGAGGCAGGAUGGAGUCAUGUGUGAGCUGGAGAUCCGUGGCCUGAUGGUGGCAGAUGCUGGGGAGUACUCAUGCGUAUGUGGGCAGGAGAGAACAUCGGCCUCACUGACCGUCCAGGGUAAAGACUGUGUGCAGCCAUACAGAGCGGAAGCUUCGUGUCUGAGGGAUUGCUCAUGUCCUCUAGUCUUCCCUUUCUCUUUGCCCACCAAGUUCGUAAAGGGCCUGAGGAAGGAAGAGGCCACAGAAGGGACCACGGUCACACUGCACUGUGAGCUGAGCAGGGCGGCCCCUGUGGAGUGGAGGAAAGGGUCUGAGACCCUCAGAUCUGGGAACAGAGUGGGCCUGAGGCAGGAUGGAGCCCUGUGUGAGCUGGAGAUCCGUGGCCUGACCAUGGCAGACACCGGAGAGUACUCAUGCGUGUGCGGGCACGAGAGGACCUCAGCCAUGCUCAUUGUCAGGGAGGCCACAGGAGGGGCCAUGGCCAUACUGUGCUGUGAGCAGAGCAGGACAGGCCCUGUGGAGUUGAAGAAGUGGCCUGAGACCCUCUGGGAUGGAAGCAGAGUGAGCCUGAGGCAGGAAGGGGCUGUGGUGGAUGCCAGGGAGUACUUAUGCAUGUGCGGGCAGGAGAGGACCUUGGGGCCAUGCUUACUGUUGAGGAAUGAAGAAGCCAUGGAAAGGGCCACAGCCACCUUGUGUUGUGAUCUGAGAAAGGUGGCCCCUGUGAUGUGGAGGAAGGGGCCUGAGAUCCUCAUAUCUGGGGACAGAGUGAGCCUGGGACAGUAUGGGGCCACAUAUGAGCUGGAUAUCCAUGGUUUGGUUGUGGCGGAUGCUGGACAUGUGUGUCUGGCCAGGAGAGGACACUGGCCAAGCUGGCCAUCAGGCCUAAAGACUGAAUGUGGCCGCCUGAGUGACUUCUCUCUGUGUUUUUCCAAUAGUGUGAAUUUGAGGAGAGACGUGAUUCAAUCUAUAAUACUCUGUCCUCCACGUCCCCCCUCCAAAUGCAUAUUCUUUUCACCUGCUGAGUACAUUUACCUCGUCACCCAAACCCAAAAGUCUCACCUCACUUCACUGUCAAGCUAA
rnacentral:lncRNA from 1 species